rnacentral:rRNA from 1 species
GGGGUAGGCGGCCCUUCAAGUCGGAUGUGAAAUUUCCUGGCUUAACUGGGAAAAGUCAUUCGAUACUGUUGGGCUAGAGUACAGCAGAGGGAGGUGGAAUUCCCGGUGUAGUGGUGAAAUGCGUAGAUAUCGGGAGGAACACCAGUGGCGAAAGCGGCCUCCUGGGCUGUCACUGACGCUGAGACCCGAAAGCGUGGGGAGCAAACAGGGAUUAGAUACCCUGGUAGUCCACGCUGUAAACUAUGGAUACUAGGUAUAGGGAGUAUCGACCCUCUCUGUGCCGAAGCUAACGCUUUAAGUAUCCCGCCUGGGGACUACGGUCGCAAGACUAAA